UAUUUUACCUUUUCUAGAUAUUCAGCUUGUGUACUGCCGUCGUAAGCAUACCUCUAAAAGUAUUAAGUAUGCAACUAUGGCUAACACCCAUUUACGUCAGGUCAAAGUGCAGCUAAUGAAAAGGAGAUGAUGGGUUACAACCUAAAUAAAGAUACAAAUUAGAACAUUAGAAGUUCUCUGAAGGUGGACUUGGCUGUAAUAUUAAUUCAAAGUUAAAAUGAAAAUGAAUCUAAGACAUGCACACAUCGCCCGUCACUCUCGCCCAAAGGCGAGAUAAGUCGUAACAAAGUAGGUGUAACGGAAGUUGCACCUGU
rnacentral:rRNA from 1 species